GUUUGAUCCUGGCUCAGGAUGAACGCUGGCGGCGUGCUUAACACAUGCAAGUCGAACGAACCUUCGGGUUAGUGGCGGACGGGUGAGUAACGCGUGAGAAUCUGCCCUCAGGAGGGGGAUAACGGUUGGAAACGACCGCUAAUACCCCAUAUGCCUACUGGUGAAACGAAUUUCGCCUGAGGAUGAGCUCGCGUCUGAUUAGCUAGUUGGUGAGGUAAUGGCUCACCAAGGCUUCGAUCAGUAGCUGGUCUGAGAGGAUGAUCAGCCACACUGGGACUGAGACACGGCCCAGACUCCUACGGGAGGCAGCAGUGGGGAAUUUUCCGCAAUGGGCGAAAGCCUGACGGAGCAACGCCGCGUGAGGGACGAAGGCCUCUGGGCUGUAAACCUCUUUUCUCAAGGAAGAAGAUAUGACGGUACUUGAGGAAUAAGCCACGGCUAAUUCCGUGCCAGCAGCCGCGGUAAUACGGGAGUGGCAAGCGUUAUCCGGAAUUAUUGGGCGUAAAGCGUCCGCAGGCGGCUUUUCAAGUCUGCUGUUAAAGCGUGGAGCUUAACUCCAUCAUGGCAGUGGAAACUGAAAGGCUUGAGUAUGGUAGGGGCAGAGGGAAUUCCCGGUGUAGCGGUGAAAUGCGUAGAUAUCGGGAAGAACACCAGUGGCGAAGGCGCUCUGCUGGGCCAUUACUGACGCUCAUGGACGAAAGCCAGGGGAGCGAAAGGGAUUAGAUACCCCUGUAGUCCUGGCCGUAAACGAUGAACACUAGGUGUCGGGGGAAUCGACCCCCUCGGUGUCGUAGCUAACGCGUUAAGUGUUCCGCCUGGGGAGUACGCACGCAAGUGUGAAACUCAAAGGAAUUGACGGGGGCCCGCACAAGCGGUGGAGUAUGUGGUUUAAUUCGAUGCAACGCGAAGAACCUUACCAGGGUUUGACAUCCUGCGAACCUCUUAGAAAUUUGAGGGUGCCUUCGGGAAUGCAGUGACAGGUGGUGCAUGGCUGUCGUCAGCUCGUGUCGUGAGAUGUUGGGUUAAGUCCCGCAACGAGCGCAACCCACGUUUUUAGUUGCCAGCAUUUAGUUGGGCACUCUAGAAAGACCGCCGGUGAUAAACCGGAGGAAGGUGUGGAUGACGUCAAGUCAUCAUGCCCCUUACACCCUGGGCUACACACGUACUACAAUGCUACGGACAAAGGGCAGCAAACUCGCGAGAGCUAGCAAAUCCCAUAAACCGUGGCUCAGUUCAGAUCGUAGGCUGCAACUCGCCUACGUGAAGUAGGAAUCGCUAGUAAUCGCAGGUCAGCAUACUGCGGUGAAUACGUUCCCGGGCCUUGUACACACCGCCCGUCACACCAUGGAAGUUGGCCAUGCCCGAAGUCGUUACUCCAACCCUUGUGGAGGAGGACGCCGAAGGUGGGGCUAAUGACUGGGGUGAAGUCAUAACAAGGUAGCCGUA
rnacentral:rRNA from 1 species